GCCAGCAUGGAGUAGUGGUUUGAGUGUUGGACUACGACUCUGGAGACCAGGGUUCGAUUCCCAGCUUGUCC
rnacentral:tRNA from 1 species